ACAAUGAAGAGUUUGAUCCUGGCUCAGGAUGAACGCUAGCUACAGGCUUAACACAUGCAAGUCGAGGGGCAUCAGGAAGAAAGCUUGCUUUCUUUGCUGGCGACCGGCGCACGGGUGAGUAACACGUAUCCAACCUGCCCUUUACUCGGGGAUAGCCUUUCGAAAGAAAGAUUAAUACCCGAUAGCAUAAUGAUUCCGCAUGGUUUCAUUAUUAAAGGAUUCCGGUAAAGGAUGGGGAUGCGUUCCAUUAGGUUGUUGGUGAGGUAACGGCUCACCAAGCCUUCGAUGGAUAGGGGUUCUGAGAGGAAGGUCCCCCACAUUGGAACUGAGACACGGUCCAAACUCCUACGGGAGGCAGCAGUGAGGAAUAUUGGUCAAUGGGCGCUAGCCUGAACCAGCCAAGUAGCGUGAAGGAUGAAGGCUCUAUGGGUCGUAAACUUCUUUUAUAUAAGAAUAAAGUGCAGUAUGUAUACUGUUUUGUAUGUAUUAUAUGAAUAAGGAUCGGCUAACUCCGUGCCAGCAGCCGCGGUAAUACGGAGGAUCCGAGCGUUAUCCGGAUUUAUUGGGUUUAAAGGGAGCGUAGGUGGACUGGUAAGUCAGUUGUGAAAGUUUGCGGCUCAACCGUAAAAUUGCAGUUGAUACUGUCAGUCUUGAGUACAGUAGAGGUGGGCGGAAUUCGUGGUGUAGCGGUGAAAUGCUUAGAUAUCACGAAGAACUCCGAUUGCGAAGGCAGCUCACUGGACUGCAACUGACACUGAUGCUCGAAAGUGUGGGUAUCAAACAGGAUUAGAUACCCUGGUAGUCCACACAGUAAACGAUGAAUACUCGCUGUUUGCGAUAUACAGUAAGCGGCCAAGCGAAAGCAUUAAGUAUUCCACCUGGGGAGUACGCCGGCAACGGUGAAACUCAAAGGAAUUGACGGGGGGCCCGCACAAGCGGAGGAACAUGUGGUUUAAUUCGAUGAUACGCGAGGAACCUUACCCGGGCUUAAAUUGCAGUGGAAUGAUGUGGAAACAUGUCAGUGAGCAAUCACCGCUGUGAAGGUGCUGCAUGGUUGUCGUCAGCUCGUGCCGUGAGGUGUCGGCUUAAGUGCCAUAACGAGCGCAACCCCUUAUCUUCAGUUACUAACAGGUCAUGCUGAGGACUCUGGAGAGACUGCCGUCGUAAGAUGUGAGGAAGGUGGGGAUGACGUCAAAUCAGCACGGCCCUUACGUCCAGGGCUACACACGUGUUACAAUGGGGGGUACAGAAGGCAGCUAGCGGGUGACCGUAUGCUAAUCCCAAAAGCCUCUCUCAGUUCGGAUCGAAGUCUGCAACCCGACUUCGUGAAGCUGGAUUCGCUAGUAAUCGCGCAUCAGCCACGGCGCGGUGAAUACGUUCCCGGCCUUGUACACACCGCCCGUCAAGCCAUGGGAGCCAGGGUACCUGAAGUACGUAACCGCAAGGAUCGUCCUAGGGUAAAACUGGUGACUGGGGCUAAGUCGUAACAAGGUAGCCGUACCGGAAGGUGCGGCUGGAACACCUCCUUU
rnacentral:rRNA from 1 species